CGGUGGUCGCGGCCGCACGCACGGACGGACGGGGGGGGGGGGGGGACGGCGGCGGCGGCUGAUGUCCGCAGCGAAGUCAGUUAAAUAGACAGUUCACCAGGGACCCCACCGCCGAGUUCACAGAGUUGCAAUGGUGCCACUCGGUCAUACGGGCGCUCCGGGAGAUGCGCGUCGCACGUGUGUGGCGUCAGAGGACCCGACGGGCGGCGCAAUGGCGGCUCCGGGUUUGGGAGAUGAAAAGGUAUUUAGGUAAGCACUGUUGGUUUAUUGUGAUGUGAUACUGACGAAGGUAAAUAAUACCGAAACGUUGAACAGAGGAGAA